rnacentral:rRNA from 1 species
CCUACGGGAGGCAGCAGUGGGGAAUAUUGCACAAUGGGGGAAACCCUGAUGCAGCGACGCCGCGUGAGUGAAGACGUACUUCGGUAUGUUAAGCUCUAUCAGCAGGGAAGAAAAUGACGGUACCUGUUUAAGAAGCCCCGGCUAACUACGUGCCAGCAGCCGCGGUCAUACGUAGGGGGCAAGCGUUAUCCGGAUUUACUGGGGGUUAAGGGAGCGUAGGCGGCAGCACAAGUCUGGAGUGAAAUGCCGGGGCUUAACCCCGGAACUGCUUUGGAAACUGUGCAGCUAGAGUGCAGGAGAGGUAGGUGGAAUGCGUAGUGUAGCGGUGAAAUGCGUAGAUAUUAGGAAGAACACCGGUGGCGAAGGCAGCGUACUGGACUGUAACUGACGUUGAGGCUCGAAAGCGUGGGGAGCAAACAGGAUUAGAUACCCCUGUAGUC